rnacentral:lncRNA from 1 species
GUCCGCGUUGAGGCCUAUUGCCACCCAACCUAUUUGAUGUUAUAGUUGGUUACUAGGUACGAACCUGACAAUUUUCAUAUUUACGCAUUUAGGUGUGCAUUCCAUGUGCCCAGUUGCGUUGCCGCAACGUACCAAUAUGGGUCCUCAAAGAAGGAUAGGAAUGUUUGUCGAUUAUGAUUCUCCUUCACACUAGCUCUGUUAGAGCCCUUGCAUGCGAUCUCUUUACCCCUCA